GAUGAACGCUAGCGAUAGGCUUAACACAUGCAAGUCGAGGGACCGGCGGAUGGGUGAGUAACGCGUAUCCAACUUGCCUCUUAGUGGGGGAUCACACGGAGAUAUCCGGACUAAUAUCGCAUACUAAGAGAUAGGCAUGCGUUCCAUUAGUUAGUUGGUGAGGGAACGGCUCACCAAGGCAUCGAUGGAUAGGGGAGCUGAGAGGCUGCUCCCCCAGAACGGAAAGAAGACACGGCCUAAAACCGUACGCGAGGCAGCAGUAUGGAGUAUUGGGCAAUGGAGGAAACUGCGAACCAGCCGAGUGGCGGGAAGGGUGACUGUGUAUGGAUUGUAAACUUGUUUAGUAGGCGAGUAGGUAGCCUAAGAAUAAGUACCGGCUAACUCCGUGCCAGCAGCCGCGGUAAUAC
rnacentral:rRNA from 1 species